GAUGCACUGCUUGGAAAUAGAUGACUAAAAUAACUAUGAGGAAAGAGUCUGAAAUAGAUGGGAUACCUGAGAUGCAGAUGUUACCGCUGCUUCACACCUGUUUGGCAUUAAGCCACCUUUGGCCUGCUCCAGCUAAUCAUAGAAUCUGGAUAACUUCUGACGUUGGUACGCGAGGUUUCUAGGUUUCUUUCUGCUAUUCUCAGCCUUGCUAGGUAAAUAUUUAACAUCAGGAGAAGCUUCUAGAAGGAUGGGGCGCUCUCCAAGAGAAGACGUGUAGCGAAGCAAAGAUGAAAGAGCCGAAAUCUAAAGCAAGGACAGAUAAAGCAGAUAAAGCUGAUGGUUAAUCGUACUGAUGAACUGGCAGCAGACAUGAGUCAGGUACGGAUGCCAAGAAGCUUCUCCAAGGUCGACCACGAUGACGUCAAUACCAACAUGGGGUAGGCUAAGAUAACACAACUGAUGAUACGAGGAGAAAGAUGCUUCCAGAACUCCCAGGAAAUAAGCACAUUUCUAAGGCUUUUUGCAACAGAGUCCAAGUUGGCGUAGAAAGGUCAAGAUGGCCUCAGAAUACUGGUCAAUGCAGCACCAUCAAAGAUCAGAUAUAGCAGCUUUGACACAUUUGGUCGAGCUUGAGAGAACCUAAGAGGAUCAUUCAGCAGGACUGGAAUACAUGACAGUGGUGCUGUGUUCUUCGAAGGAAGGCUGUUUCUUCACAUGUCCAACUGAUACAGAUUCCAUGAUGUUUGGGGAGCACAUGGCGCCAGCUGAUGAAGAGGCAUCAUGAGGACACCGUCUGGCCCCACUGUGACUUGAUUGGCCAUACCUCAAACACAGGACUAUCUGAUAAUCAGUCAGAUGAAGGAGAAACUCAAUUUCAAAUUCAGUUACAUGUUUCGCUAUAGAUUUAUCAGCCAAUCUAUCAUGUGCGACAAGCAAAAACAGUUAGUACGGGGGCGGUGGAGAUUUUUUUAGCAUUGCGAGUACAAAAAGGACUUGUAGAUGGAAACGAUGUGGUUUGUUAUUUUACACACUGUGGGGACACUAUUUAGCCAGUUGAAGGACACCUAUACUAAAGGCCUAUAAAGGCCUAUGUAAAACAGACACACCAGAACCGACUAAAUAGGGCCAACACAGUAUAACUUUUUGACAUUUCAAAGACCAAUAUUGAUGAUUAGGUCACUCACUCAAUAUUUUAUGAAUGGAACACUCCAGCCAAUCAGAUCAAGCUCAAAGGCUGAACUCUAUUCCAUCUAAACUUGGUCCAAGAUCUUAGGCCAUGGCAUGCACUUUAUUUACACAGGUUUUCUCAAGUAGAACCGGAUAUCAAAUUAUCGUAAUCUAAUUGGCUUUCAGCCAUUGGCUAAAGGCUUUAAACAUUAACUUAGGCCAUUCAUACUGGAAUCAUGAAUGAACCGAUGGGUUAUAGUAAAUGAGGUGUAAGUAGUUCCUGGAACUCACUACUGACCUGUGGAUAAACUCAGAGAUUACUUAAUCUUAAAUCAUAGUAUUAACAUUGAUAGGUCUGGUCAUAGGCUUUGGUCAGCGAAUGUUUAUAUGUCUCAAUAAUACUUUAAUAGAUCCUGUAUCAUGUAAUGGUAAAACCAUUAAUAUGCACAUUUUACAGUUGAUGCAGGUUGUCAGUUCAUGUUUAACCCCUUGCUAAGCUGUCAAUACGAAAGUUGUCACCACCAUAGACAGACAUAACACUCAAGAUGACCCAAACCGCAUUCCAGCUGUGAAAGAGGCUUGCUCGGGACUGGUUUUCCGUCAGAAGUUGUCAAACUGGCAAAAUAUGAACAAAUUGAUUUUGUUGGGUUUUCAUCUUGAAAUGAUAAGUUUAAAAUCUGGUCGCAGAUUCCAUCGCAAUCACAGGAUGGUCGAGCAAUGAUAGGGUUCAUUCAACACAUCCUGGUUGGACCAGUUAUUUGGCAGUGGUCCCUCCGCUCGCCAACACCAAGCAGCGAUGGAAGAUAGCAUUUUGUGGUCAGCAACCAUAAUCCUGUGGUGAACACAGCAGGUACAUUCCAGGAAACCCAAACCAAAGCCACGGUGAACUUCGUAGAAAUCUGCUGAAUUACCCCUGGGGCAACCCCAUACAAAACCUGUCACAAAUAACAACACUGCAGGAAGUUAAGAACCCUAACUACCUGUGUUCUACUUCAGUUUUAUUGUACUUAAAUCUGCUGUGCAAUGCUUAUACAAUCAACACAUGAGUUGUCAGUCAGGUGAGGAUGGGACCGGUGUUCAUACCUAUUUCUAGGACACUAAUUAUUGUUCAGCAAAUUAAUUUGUUCCAAAGUGAUUUGUGAGUUUUCUUUACCCAUUAGUCCUCUUUAGUUCGUCAAAGGGAAUAAGUGACAUUUGACAGAGGGACAAAACAUUAUGAGUUAAUGGCCCAUAUGGCCAAGCUUUAGGAUACACAGCUAGUUUCUGAACGACCAUAACAAAUAUUUGUCCACACAUUCUUUGACCUUCUUUUAUUUGAGGAACAUUAAUGAGACUUGUAGACAAAGACCCUUUCUUGAAAUAUGUCUUGGUGUGGUAAAGCAUAUUUCACAUGAAGUGAGACCAACUCGUCUACACCAUGAAUGAUGCACAUUUCUUGGCACCCAAAGUACAUGUAUAAAGCCAGUUCAACCCAGAUGAAAUGAACAGGGAAAGAUAUGCCAUUAGGAGCUAUGGAAAUGACAAUGGACAAGAAUGUCAUGGAGAAUAAAAGUCUAAGAGUAGCAAAAAAUCAGUCGAUCUUCAAACACAUAAACCAAUGAUAAACUGCAUAUCAGCAAUGUUGUCACAAGGUCGCAGUGCAGGUGGUGCAAAGUCAAUAAAGAGUUCAACCCCAUGCCUCAUACCCCUUGCCAAGAACAGCUGGCAAAAUCUUGCCCUUUUUUUCUCAGAAAGUGUUAUCACUAUUGAGUACACAACAUGAGUGGCUAUCCAACCUAUAAACAUGAAUGAACACAGUUAUUUCACCAUGACAACCUGGAUACAUCACUUUUUUGCAAGUUUUCUCUGGAAAGAGUAAACAAAACACCCGAAGAAAAAGAUUAACAGUUUUUAGGUAGUCACAACCAAUUGCUUUAUCCUAUACAUUGUAGUUCUCAAAAGAAGAUGUAUGAGACCUUUAAAUAACACCCCUAGUUAACCUUUGAUUAGUCUUCUCAAGUGUACGUGGUUAUUUGGACAGCAUCACACUUGAAGAAGGGGGUGGUUUGACACUGCCAUAGAAUGGUGACACCUUAGAGACAAGAAUAAGAAAGGUUUUUAAAUUAUCACACUGGGGUGGCGGAGUUCUAGAGUUGAAUGAAAAGUUACCCGUUCAUCUUUUAGGUGUUCAUACCACAAGGUCAAACAACCUAACUGUCAGCUUUGAACGAGCACGCAUUGAACAGAUAAAAGUGUAUACCUGAGGUACAAGUUAUGUCUGCACCAAGCUGUCAGUUUUUGACAAACCUAAUGCAUUUUACGAUCACCGAAAUCAAACGAAUCGAACUAUUUGAUAGCGCCAGUUGAUUAUAUAAAUUUCUUUCUUGAUCUGACACUUUCACAAUCAUAUUGAUGUAUUGGGUCUUUGAUUGAGAACAUUGACAGAAGUUCAAAUGAUAUCUUCUCAGUUCCAUUUAUCAGCUCCGCUAUAUGGAGCAGAGCCUUUGAAACCAUAUUUAGGCACUCAAACGAAGAAGACAGGCAGACCGGAAGCGCUUAUAUGGCUUUUUCAAUCAAAGGUGAAAUGCUUUCUGUCAUAGUGAAUGAUUUAUGAUGCCCCAUAUCUCGCCUAUAGUCAAUAGCCCUAUAUUGACUAAACUGAAAGGCUGGCAAUUCCUUGUAUGCCCAUAUCCUGAUUGGAAAACUAUGCAUGUGUUUGGCAUGAAGAAUUAACGUGCUGUGGUUCAAGCCUGAUACUAUGUCCAGUAGACGUGGAAGAAGGCCAAGCCGAGUAAUGUCCAAGUUAUACACCACCUCAGUAAAUGUUUAUAAAGUCGAGAUAAACACACACACUUUUUAUUUACUGAGGGAUUGCGGUGAUUGGAAAGGUUCAUCUUAUCAGGAAACCAAAACCAGACGAGAAGACUGG